rnacentral:piRNA from 1 species
UGAGAACCAUUCUUGGAUAACAGAGCCUA